rnacentral:rRNA from 1 species
GUGGGGAAUAUUGGACAAUGGGCGAAAGCCUGAUCCAGCCAUGCCGCGUGAGUGAUGAAGGCCUUAGGGUUGUAAAGCUCUUUUGUCCGGGAAGAUAAUGACUGUACCGGAAGAAUAAGCCCCGGCUAACUUCGUGCCAGCAGCCGCGGUAAUACGAAGGGGGCUAGCGUUGCUCGGAAUCACUGGGCGUAAAGGGCGCGUAGGCGGACUUUUAAGUCGGAGGUGAAAGCCCAGGGCUCAACCCUGGAAUUGCCUUCGAUACUGGGAGUCUUGAGUUCGGAAGAGGUUGGUGGAACUGCGAGUGUAGAGGUGAAAUUCGUAGAUAUUCGCAAGAACACCGGUGGCGAAGGCGGCCAACUGGUCCGAAACUGACGCUGAGGCGCGAAAGCGUGGGGAGCAAACAGGAUUAGAAACCCCGGUAGUCC